rnacentral:lncRNA from 1 species
UCCACUUUAGGUCUCUCCAUUUAGUUUUAAACUUAUUGGGAUCAUGUAUGCAGCACUGGUGUUGGCUUAUUAUUAGUAUUUUUUUUCUUUUAAGUAAACUCUAGGUUUCUGUUUAUGUAGCUCCAAUAUCUGUGCUAAUUAGCUGAUGUCCUAAGCAAUUUGAUGUCGAGCCAGUUACUUUUCCAGUCCAUCUUACUCUUAAUUAUUUAUCCUGCAUUGUCUAAGAAUCCUCCUGGCAAGGUUUAUGUGACUUAGGCACCUUGUUCUUAGCAUAGGUAGCACCUUGUUCAUAAUUCCAUGUGGUGUUCAAGUGUUGUAUUUUAUUUGUGACAAGCUAAUAGUGGAUACCAACAAAGUGGUUUGACAUGUGAUGUGAAAUAAAGUUGUUACCAAGAGUAGUAUCACUAUGUGCGCAACAUGGCGUCCGAUCUCUACCCGAUCAACUAGGACGCCUUCCCACAUAUGCCGUGUGGGUUGACUAUUCCAAUUCAUAGUUAUUACCAGUUUCAUCCCAAUUAAGGGGAAUAAUCACAAUUUCACCAAUAUUUCAAUUUCAUCCCAAAUAUGGGGAAUAAUCACAAUUCACCCCUACACCGGCACAUGUAGUUUCAGGUGUGGGCCUUAUGACCCACCCUUUCUCUGUUUUGCUAAUGAUGCUCCCAAAAAUAUUUUUGAUUUGAUUUGCACACAGAGGUAAAAUAAAUACAAUAGUACUCGCCUCUACAUCUUUCACAUUGUAUAAAUUCUCAUUAGUAUUUUCAGUCAUUCACAAGGACAAUAUUUCCUUGGCUCAUUUGGCCAUUCACAAGAUUCUUUAUUCCUGGCAAGAUGGCCGCAUUUCAUGUUCCACACUUUCACCUUUUUCAAUUUCAAAGAUCACCUUCAAAUAUCAACAUAUAGAAUAUUCUGGAAAUCACAACUUUAAGUUCAUUAGAAAUGAACAAUUUAAGCACAAUAGAUUUCUUUCCGAGAAAUGGAGUAAAAUAAUUGACAAUUGAUGCGCAAGUUAAAAUCAUUAACUAGUAACACACCAUUUAUUCUUAAAAUACUUUUCCCCAAAAAGGGCAAUACACAAUUUCCACUCACGAAUAUAUAAGAACUCAAAUACAUUGAAAAUACUCACAAAGCAUAGUAUUUGUUAAAACAGCCACAUAUGGCAUGACUUGAGUACAAAAGUUUUUAGACAAUUCUAUUUUCGAAGUCAUUUUAAAAUAGUUGAGUCGAGGCUCAUUUCAUAUUCUUUAUCACAUCAUCUCACUUCAUUAGCACCAUUGGCCACAAGUAUAACUUUCACUCUUGGCACGUUGGCCACACUUUAUAUUCCCAAUUCACCUAUUUCACUUCCAACCAUCUUUAUUGAUUAUCAACAAUAAGACAUUUUCAAUCACUUUAGGUACACAUAUGAGCAAUUAAGAGUCUUAAGCAUAUUGUGUUUUCUCACACAAUUUGGCAUCAUAACCUUCAUUUGAAACACAACUCAAAGACAUAGUAUUUUAAUACACAUAUCAUUCUUGAACACAUUCCCAAAAGAUAACAUAAUGUGAUAGGAAUAUUUGGAACACGUUUUGAAUACAUAAUUCUCGACACUUUGCUCAUUCGGGACAAUCGAAUUUGUUGGGGACAACUUGGAACAUAGAAUAAGGAACUUGGGACAACCAUACUUGGAACUUACGAGAACAUCAUAGAAUUCAAUUCUAAGAGAGAAAGUUUAGCCAACAUACCUCGCUUUGAGCUUUCCUUAAAUUACUACAACAUUCCAAAAAUUCUAGCAAUCCCAAUCUAUUUUGAGACAUAACAAAAAUUGAACCAUAAUUAGGAAGAUAUUCAUGGUCUCGGCUCAUUUGAGCAUUUUAUCAAAUACUAGGUGUGCAAAUUUAACUACAAGGUUCUUAUACAAGAUUUCCUUCACUCCACAACCCAAUCUUUACUUAUUUUAGCUCAACAAUCUUUCCACAAAUCUUAUUGGUAUAAGCAUGUAUAAUUAAUACUCUUACACCCAAGAAUCAUACGUCCAAUCACUCAUCUUUUAUCCCAAACUCGAAAUUGAAGACUAGGGAUUUGAAUCUUACCUCUUGAGUGAAGAUCUUGUCAGAUUUUCUUGUUGGAUUUCAAGGCUUGAACAAGAUCUUGAUGAACAAAAUACUUCAUCUACUUCCUCUCUCUAGAACACUCUCAUUUCUCUCUAAAAUAUCAGGUUUUAGCUCAAGAAAUGACUUAACCCCUCUCUACCCAGCCUUGGGGUUAUUUAAUGGGCUCCUACGUGUGCGGCCGCGCACCUGAACAAGUGGCCGCACAUCUGGCCGCGCACAUGAGGCAGAAACUCUCAAAUAUGCACGGCUGCGCAUCUGGGCGCGCAUAUGAUACAAGUCCAGUUAAAUGGCCAUAACAUUCUGUAUACACAUCCAAAUGACGAACGGUUUAAUGCGUUGGAAACUAGACUCAAAGAACUUUAAUUUGAUAGGUAGAUCACCACCUAAGUCAUUAUAUUGUGGGAUUUCUAUUCAUUUGAAGUCGGGUCUUGUGCCAAUUAAAAUAUCCUUUCCACUUAAUGUGUCCAACUUGUUCUACACAAGUUCUUGCCAUUCACAAAACUCCUUAAUAUCUUCCAACACGCCUUAAACAUAUAUUUUAAUACCAAAAUGAUAUGGUUCUAUCCCAUGGGUCUCCUUUAAUACUCAAAUACGUUAUUCCCAAAUACUGCUGGCGCACUUUAAAAUCUUAAAUCAUUAGAAAAUUUUUACGGGACCUUACAAUAACAUAGACCUACUCGAGGCCUCAAAUCACACAUAACAACAUCGAAAUAAUGAAUCGCACCUCAAAUCAAUCUUAAAUGAACUUUAAACUUUCAACUUCCAAAACUCGCGCUGAAACAUAGCAAAUCAACUCGGAAUGAACUCAAAUUUUGCACACAAGUCCCAAAUCACAUAACGAAACUAUUCCAAUUCUCGGAACCACAAUCCGAACCUGAUAUCAUCAAAGUCAACUCCCGGUCAAACUUGUGAACUUUCCAAGCCUUCAAAUUUUCAACUUCCGCCAAUUAGUAUCGAAUCCUUCUAGAAAUAUUCCAAUGCAAAUCCGGGCAUACGCCUAAGUCUAAAAUCACCAUACGGACCUAACGGAACCAUCAAACUCCAUUCUAGGGUCAAAUUCAUAAAAGUCAAACUUAGUCAACUCUUCCAACUUAAAGCUUCAACAAUGAAAUUCAUUCUUCCAAAUCGAUUCUGAAUAACCCGAAAACCAAAACUGAAGAUUCACACAAGUCAUAAUAUAUCAUACGGAACUAUUCAUGCCCUCAAACCACCGAUCGAAGUACAAAUGCUCAAAACGACCAGUUGGGUCAUUACACAUCAUCACGAAUAGCUUCUCCUCUAAUUCUACCAUCUCCACCAACAGAUUUUUCUCAUGUACCAUUAUAUCCUUUAACCACAUGGCUAUAUCUAAUUUGUGGGAUUUGCAAACUACCUUUCUCUAUCUUAAGGGCACUACCCAAAGGUCUUAAGACUGUCACUCUAUCUAACCCUUUUAUUUAAGCUAUCUAUUAUCAUGUCUCUUUAUCUGGUAAAAUAAUAAGAUUUUGGAUGUAAGCCUCCCUCUUUUCAGCCUUUGUAGGGUAAAGAAAAGGGCACACUACCUGGGAAGGAAACAAAAAGAUUUAUAAGCAUAGAUAUUAAAGGCAUGCUUGAAACAUCCAUUAGAUGUUUAAAACACUUUCUACAAAAUGUUUCAAGCAUUUACAGGAUGUUUGAAAGAUGUUUCAAACAUCUUUGAAACAUACACCAGAAUGAGUCGUACCGGAUCAUCUUUGAUCUGAAAUGGAUCGGGCCUGUCUUUUUCUACUUUUUCAAAUAACCACCUCUUCAUCCUCGGCAAAGUCCUCUCUUUUAGAUAAUCUUUUGGCCGUAAUUGAGGUAAGGCUUCAAACGUCCAAGCCUACAUUGUGUGAUCAAACAGUAUAUAAAAGGUUAUAUAAAUAACACAAAAGUAAAAAUAAUAAAUAAGAUUUAUCUAGUUACCAUGAAAGUCUAAGGAAAUCCGUAGAGGUUAAUAAGAGUCACUCUUUGAUUGUUGACGCUCUUUCUUAUCUUUUAUAGUAUAAUCAACAGACAAGUGAAAAAUAUUUUUGCCCCAUAGAUAAAUGUAGAAAGCCUCUUUUGUGGAGGCCAGUCUGACUGUAUCUUCAGACACACCACAGUUCAAAUCCUUUGCCAACAAAAUGUAGUGAACUAACCAAAUCAAGCAUAGUGCAUAUUUAUGUUUUUAAAUUUUUUUGGAUUUGGAUUUGAUUAAGUCAAACACUAGUUUACCAGUCACAGUUCUCUUUCCUUUGGUAUAAGUUUUGAUAAAUCUUCAUCAUCAAGAAAGUACUUUUCAAUCUUCAAAUUAGGGUAAGAAUGUCUACAGUUGAGUUCGAUCAUUAUGGCAAACACACAAAGGCCAAAGCGGACUGGUAAUCUUUUGUAAUUAACCCAUAAAUCCUGGGUCUUCUCCUACAAUACUCUACUGUAAUAUAGAUGCCUUAAACAGUGGCCUCUGAGGCACAUCUAAAAGUGCCUGAAAGGACUAGUCCUAAACUUAUUUUCAAGGCCCUCAUCCUGCUACAACUUUCUGAACUCACCCAUAAUCGUUAAUCCUAAUGAGAAUCUUACUGUGAUGUUCUUGAUGAAGGUCUCAUUAUCAUCCAAAAAUAUCUUGAACUUGAACGGUGGAAGUUCCGGCCAAAGCCUUAAGAUUUCAACCUCGCAACUAUCAAACUCAUCUUUAGGCAUCUCAAUCUUUAUAUGAUUUUAAAAUGUUGAUUAAUAAAAGGCACAAGAAUAAUGAAUUUAAUAAUUAUUAAAAUCUAUUUCCAACUUUUUUUUAAUGAAACAUCCUAUGAAAUAUUUCAAACAUCCAGAUAGAUAAUUUAUACAUCCAACUAGAUGUUUUAAACUUCCAAGGAGAAUUUCAAACAUCCAGAGAGAUGUUUUAAACAUAUUGAGCUUACCUUAACAGAUUGAGAAGGUGCAUUGUCAUUCUUUUUCUUUUUUCUUCUUUCUGCCUCUGCCUCUUCUUCUUCUUCUUCUUCUCUUGAAGCUUCUUCUUCUCUUGGUUUCAACAUAAGAUCUUCAUCUUCAGAGGUCUCCUCUUCUAUUUCUUCUCCUUCAACAGUUACUAUUUCCUCUUAUGAUUCUUCAUCAUCAAUAUUUGUCUCCUCGUUUCUUUCUUCUCCUUCAACGACCGUUGUCUCCUCUUUUGAUUUUUCAUCAUCAACUUUUGCCUCCUCUUCUAUUUCUUUCUCUAUUUCCUUUUCUCUUUAUCCACUUCUUUUCCUCUCUCCUUAUCCUCUUCUUUCUUCUUUCCUCUUCUUUUUCUUUUUCAUUAUCCUCUUCUUUCUCUUUUUUCCUCUUCUCCAAUAUUCUCUCCUUUACUACUUCAGUAGCAGUGUCUCCUUCUACCUGAUUAUUCUGUCCUCCUCCUCCUACUACCCGAAGAGGUGUAACUUCUACUUCAGCUAUAAUAAGAAUUGAUUGUUGUAUCUCAUUUUCCUAUGAUGUCCUAAUUUUUUUGCUAGGUUUUUUAGAAGGAGAGUCACCUCUUCCUCUUUCUCCUUUUUUGGCACACAUUCCUUUAUCAUUUUAUCUACACACUCAAACAAGUAACAACCAUCAACAAGUAAACAAAUAAUUUACUCCUAACAUAUAAAAUAUUAACGCUAUAAAUAAUCAGGUAUCCUUUGGUGAAACGUUUUUUGGAUUAUUAAACAUCCUUACAGUUGUUUCAAACAUCUUAUAUGAAGCUUCAAACAUCUAAUUAGAUGUUUGAAACAUCUCUGAAGAUAUUUUACAAUCAACGAGUUAUUUACAAGAAGAAUAUUUCAACCAUAUUUAAGAUGUUUCAAAUACUCCAAUGAGAUAUUUGAAAUAUCAGCGCAAAAUGCCACUAACCAAACUCAGAAAAAUAUUGCAAUAAUUGCACAACAUAUAACAACAACAAUAACAACAUAGAUGUUUAACAAUCUCUUAAGAUGUUUCAAAAAUUCAAAUGAGAUGUUUAAAACAAAUGGGUAAAAAUCAUUUCGCAGACCCAAACAUGGAGCAAUAUAGCCAUUUUAACAUCACAACAACUAGAUUUCUAGGUCUGUGGAAUAACCUCAUCAACAAUAUAUAAAUACCAAAUUUUCAAUCAAAAUUAUCAACUACACGACAGCUCUAAAAUUUAGGCACGAAACUACACAACGACAUGAAGAUACAAAAGCACACAAAAAAAUAAAAGAAUCUAUAGAAGUUGAAAUAACAAGUUUAGGAUUCAUCAAUGGGGUAGAAAAAUAAAAUAAAAAUUACCUUGAUGAUGGAAUUUCGAAAGUUUUGAACGAAGUUGAGUAGAAAUGGAGCCGAUAUUUGGAGUCCCAAAUCGUGAGAAAACUGAUUUUGGAGGUUGAGUUUGAGAGAAAGGGGGAGGAAGAUCAUGAAAAAUAAAGAAAGAGAAAAUAGAGAAUGGGAUAGGUGGGGAACUAUUUUGGGUGAUGGGUUAACUUAUUUUUUAGUUUUUUAAAUUUUACCCCAAAAUUUUCUUAUUUUUUAAUUUGGCCCCCAACCAUUCAAUAGUCCUAGGACUAUUUUUGUAAUUUUUUAUUUACCGUUUUUUAUUGCGCAUGUUGCGGCAUUCACACACGUUACUAUGUUACACUGUUGCUAACAUUCUUUGCUACUUGGUGCUUUAUUUUCAUUAUUUCUUAAGUUGAGGAUCUAUCGAAAAUAACCUCUCUAUCUCUAUGAGGUAGGGGUAAGGUCUGCGUACAUACUACCCUCCCCAGACCCCACUUAUAGGAUCAAACUGGGUUUAUUGUUGUUGUUGUUUGCCCCCGACCACCCUUGAUUAACCAACCUUUUGUCGUUUGGAUAUAAGAAUUGUAAAAUUUCGGGAAAAAAGUAAACAAAAAAAUUUCAAGUGAAAAUGGUAUUUGAAAAUUAGAGUUGUGUUUGGACAUGAAUACAAUUUGGAUAUGUUUUUGAAUUUUUUUUAAAGACCCGUUUGUCCAUAAUUUGUUUUUUUUUUAUUUUCUUUUUCAAAAAUGUGUUUGUCCAAGAAAUUUUGCAAGAGUUUUUCAAAAAACCUUUUUCCCAAUUUUCAAAAAAAAAAUUCUCCACUCACAAAACUGCAAUAUUUUUUCAAGUGAAAUGCAUGUUCAAACGUAAUUUCAAAUUCCAAAUACUUUUUCAACUUAUCUUCAAAUGCUGCUUUUUCUAAAAAAAUUAUAAUUCUUAUGUCCAAACGCCUACUAAGUAAUUUAAAGUAAAAAUUUUAAAAAAUAAUUUUUUGGAGUUUUUCAAAUUUCAACAAAAAAAAAGUAAAUUUUCAAAAAUAAAAUAUAUGGAAUUUUUUUUAUUGUCAAACGGGCCCGGCCCUUAAACACAUUUUUCCGUAAAGUGAGAGCCGACAGAAAGCAAGCCGAAACCUGGCAGACUUUGGAUUACUGUAUCUAAAAGCAAACCGAUUCUUGAUCUAUAAAUACAUUUUGGAGGUUCUUGUGUCGAAUUCAAUCAUGGCUAGCUCUUCCUUGGUGGUCAGAACUUCUGUUCCAAAGGAAAUAAUGAGAGGGCAAAUUAGUGAAGUACUGAUUAGAAGUUGUAGCGGUCCUGUGGUGAGCAGAUGUGUGGCUCCUUGGUUGAUGCUACUGCCGGAGUUUAAGGAGGACAGCACCGUCUUCAAAUUCUACAGACUGGCAGAAGGGGAUGUCAUACAAGUACAACAUGAGCAGCAAGUGAUGAUGCCUGAUAUUGAUUCCGUUUGCUUGGGUUCAUUAUCCAAGGGAUGGCUUGUUUGUAUACAGCCUAAAGAUUGUCUUCUCUUCAUGUUUAACCCACUUUCUGGUAAGACUAUCCAGCUUCCAUCCAUUGAAACUUUCCCCUGUGUUAACGGCGUUAUUCGGAACAGUGUCAGAGUCGAAUGCUUUCUUAACCACCAAUCUAUUCCCUUAACCCCACAACGUAUGUCUUCAUACAUUGUCGAAAAGAUGAUCCUUUCAUCCCCUGAUCCUAUGGAAGAGGACUGCAUAGCGUUGGUCAUUUACGGGCCCCACCAGCGACUCGCAUUCUGCAGGAGGCCUGGCAUAGCUGAAGCCAAUUCGUGGACUGCACUCGACGGUCCCUUACGCGAGUACACUCAAAUUGUGUUCCACAGUGGAAAGAAACUAUUUUUUGCUCUCACCCAAGAUAAGGAGCUUGAAGCUUGGGAUCUCCACAAUGAUCCAACUAAGAGGUUUCUCAUCCAGAUUGAAGAUAUAGGCUGCAGUGAUGAUUGGCCCUCUUCUGCUGCGGAUGAUACUGAGCUAGAGUGCAAGUCAUGCUACUGUUGGGACACUGAUUACUUGGUAUAUGACCACCAAAGCCAGGAGCUUUUUGUUGUUACACGCUACAUAGCACAUGGCAUUGCCCAAGAUGGGACUCUGAUAUUGCCUGUGGAGAACGCUGAGCGCGAAUAUCCCUAUAAGACUCAAACUUUUGAUGUUUUCAAGCUUGAUUUUAUAGACCAUGAUCGUGUGGAGCUUCAAUACUUGCCAGGCAGCCUUGGCAAUCGUGCAUUCUUCAUUGGUUCCAAUCCCGGCUUUGCUCUCUCGACCACCAUGUUCCCGGAAUUGAGGCCCAAUUCUAUUUACUUUACAGAUGAUCUAACUUAUGCUUACAUAUUUAGGGAAGAGCCUAAUUGUGGAGGUCAUGAUUUGGGGAUUUAUGACUGUAAAGAAGGAAGCUUUUUAUCCUGUUACUACCCUGUCGAUGUAGACAAGAUACAAAGGAUUCUACCAGCUCCUAUUUGGUUCACCCCUGAUGUUGAUGCAACAUGCUUGGCCUCCACUUUAGGUCUCUCCCUUUAGUUUUAAACUUAUUGCGGAUCAUGUAUGCAGCACUGGUGUUGGCUUAUUAUUAGUAUUUUUUUCUUUUAAGUAAACUCUAGGUUUCUGUUUAUGUAGCUCCAACAUCUGUGCUAAUUAGCUGAUGUCCUAAGUAAUUUGAUGUCGAGCCAGUUACUUUUCCAGUCCAUCUUACUCUUAAUUGUUUAUCCUGCAUUGUCUAAGAAUCCUCCUGGCAAGGUUUAUGUGACUUAGGCACCUUGUUCUUAGCAUAGGUAGCACCUUGUUCAUAAUUCCAUGUGGUAUUCAAGUGUUGUAUUUUAUUUGUGACAAGCUAAUAGUGGAUAGAGAUCAAAAAAGCACUGGAGCUCUUUCAUUGUGCAGGUCAACAACGUGUUCUACUGUAUGAUGUAAGGUGUCUGCUUACCUGCAACACCUUUCCCCUGAUCCAACCUGAGCUAUAUAAUCUAGAAUCUCUUUGUUUACAGGUACACAGAGAGCUAUAAAAGCACAUGCUGAAGUAGAGAGGACUUGUAGAUGAGCAUGGCUAGUUUCAUAGCCACACAACAUGCGCCUGCUAAAAGGAUUUAUGCACGCGUAUGAGUUGUUUCAAUGAUUGCUGUCCUUAUAUAUGAAUAUGAGCCUUCUCCAACUCUGUACUACUUAACCAAGUUUGGUGGCCUUUAUCGAGAAACUGAAAGGCUGUCUAGUCGCAUGAUGAAAGCUACAAGUGAGGGAUAUAUCUCGCUCAAGUAUCUACUUGUCGAUGAACUGUAUUUGAGGUUCUUAAUGUAGCCAUUCAAUCAAUGCAAAUGAAAUGUAAGUGCGCUUCUUACUUGGUAGGUAUCACAUUCCAGUAGCACAGCAUCUUCAAUUACUGCCCCAUCUCAUACUCUUGUCCUCAACCCUCACAUUCCAGUAGCUGAUUUCAUAAAACUGCAUGUACCACCAAACUAAGUGUAUGACUUUGACUUUGUCUGCUUACAUAGUCUAUAUUCUAAAUUAACUUUCUAAAUUUUCUGUAAUAUGAAAGAUAAUGUUCAGCUGUAUACAUCAACCAUCCCAAUGAUGGAGUCCCUCACAAUAAACAUCAAAUUAGCCUGCCUGAUAGUACUAUGCUUCUCACGUCCUUCCAGUAUCCAUCAAAUUUGUGUACAGAUACCUAGUCUCACUGUUUUGAGUAAAAAGGAAUAAAGCAACAAUUUGAUAUCUUUUACACAAGAGAAGUCAAAAUUUUAGUCCAUAUCUCAAAUAGUAGACCUUACAUUAUUCUUAAGGAAAGUGCAUCUGGUAUGAGGUAUCACUUCUCUUCUAAGUCAACAACAUCCAUGGGAAGGUCUUCCAAAUUUAUCAAGCAGAGAGUUUGAGAGAGAACUCAGCUUGAUUAUUCCCUCAAGCCAAAUAGCUAGUGUACAUACUCUAAGAAAGAAAAGAGAAUCAAGCUAUACUUUAUUUACAAGAUCCUACGAGAUUCUAACAACACUUGUUUGCACCUGAAAUUACACAUGUGAUCAUACCUUUCUUAACAAAAUGAUAUGUAUGAUGAGACAAAAGGAAACUACUACCAAGCAGCAGAAAGAUAUGAAUGAAAAGGGAGGAUAUACUCUGUCAUCUGGUUUAUCGAUUCUGUUGUUUAGGUGGGCUUCUAAGAGUUUGUUCCAUAUUACAAAGAUGGUAAGCAGGAAGGGCUAGAAACUUAACAAUUGGAUACUCCUCUAGCCCCCACAGACACCUUGUUAUAUCAUCAGGAUAACACACAGAAGAAAACAUUUGGUAUAUCACUAGAAGAUAUCACAAAGUUAACAUUUGGAUGACUUCAAUAAAUGCUUCAUUCCAAAGGCUAGCGCUAUUGCUAGGUGGGAAUACAGAGAAUUGGAGUCAAAUUGAGUAAAUCUUGGUUAUGUUACUGUUAAUGCAGUUUCUAACUGCUGCUGCAUCAAUGUUUCCUUCCAUAGAGAGAGAGGCCAGCUUCUGAUCUUCCCUUUGUCGGUGGGUGCAACCUUGAAAUGGAUCCAUCUCCAAACACGAUUGCCACACCACUCUGCAUUUCUGAAAAAGAAUCUUUUAGAACUAUUCAAGUAACCAAAAUGAAUGUGAAUGGUGUCGGAGUGUAGUAGAUGUGAUCCCUCCCUAGUAUGUUUGAGCUUUGACUACUGUAUAAGCCAUCACUAUACUGUUAUAUAUGGAUGACAUUAUUAUUCAGUGAGUCACUAUUGUUUUUUGACACA